rnacentral:rRNA from 1 species
UACGGGGGGGGCAAGCGUUGUUCGGAAUUACUGGGCGUAAAGGGCUUGUAGGUGGCCAACUAAGUCAGACGUGAAAUCCCUCGGCUUAACCGGGGAACUGCAUCUGAUACUGGAUGGCUUGAGUUCGGGAGAGGGAUGCGGAAUUCCAGGUGUAGCGGUGAAAUGCGUAGAUAUCUGGAGGAACACCGGUGGCGAAGGCGGCAUCCUGGACCGAUACUGACGCUGAGGAGCGAAAGCCAGGGGAGCAAACGGGG